CUGAAAGUAGCUUUACCUACAGGAUAAAGAACACAGUUUGUUUGUUUGUUUGUUCUUCCUUUCACCCCCUCCAGAAAUAGGGAGUAUCAACAGUAUUAACAAGAGUAUCAACAAAAGCAUGCUUUCUGUCAUUUCCUUCCAGUUUCCGGUCUUUCAGCCACCACUCUCAUCAAACUUGGGGUUCCCGACUAGACACUUUCUUUCUGGCUGCUGUCAGGAUUUCUUUUUUUUUGUCUUUAGUUUUCUGAAAUUUAUGAAGUGUUUGGUGUGACUGUUUUAUUUGGGUUUAACUCAGCUCCUUGAAUCGGCAGGUUUAUGUCUUUUUGCCAGAUUUUGAAAUUUCCAGAUAUUAUUUUUCAAAUGCUCUUUCAGCCCCCCUGCCUUUCUCUUUUCCCGUGAUUCCGAUAAUAUGAAUAUCAGGUCUUUGGUUCCGAGCUUCUCAAAUUGGCAAAAAUGUACACACUCAUUAAUAGACCCUAAGACAUAGUCUCUCAGAGCAGAUAAAACUAAGGAGCAACAGCACGUGGAUAAGAUCUUUCAGUGUCAUAGCCCACUAAGAAAUCAUCUCUGCGUCUGUACUGUGACCACACAUCAACUAAAUCCAUUCACCUCCCUUCAAGGUUCUAAGGAAACUCAAGACCUACUCUGAGUGCCAAUGAGUGAGGCCACAUGGUUUUGAGCUUUCCACCCUAUUCCUAUUUUCUCAUGAUUCCUGUGGAU
rnacentral:lncRNA from 1 species